rnacentral:rRNA from 1 species
GAUGAACGCUGACAGAAUGCUUAACACAUGCAAGUCUUUGGCGAAGCUGUGCUUGCACAGCCUAGCCAAGGCGGACGGGUGAGUAACGCGUAAGGAACUUGCCCUGCAGUCAGGGAUAACAGACGGAAACGAUUGAUAAGACCUGGUAAAGUCAGGCGGACUCAUGUCCAGCCUGAUGAAAAGAGAUGCUGCAGGAGAGCCUUGCGUCCUAUUAGCUUGUUGGUGGGGUAACGGCCCACCAAGGCGAUGAUAGGUAGCCGGCCUGAGAGGGUGGACGGCCACAAGGGGACUGAGAUACGGCCCUUACGCCUACGGGAGGCAGCAGUGGGGAAUAUUGGACAAUGGGGGCAACCCUGAUCCAGCAAUUCUGUGUGCACGAUGAAGGUUUUCGGAUUGUAAAGUGCUUUCAGCAGGGAAGAAAAAAAUGACGGUACCUGCAGAAGAAGCGACGGCUAAAUACGUG